rnacentral:rRNA from 1 species
AACGAACGCUGGCGGCAGGCUUAACACAUGCGAGUCGAACGCCCCGCAAGGGGAGUGGCAGACGGGUGAGUAGCGCGUGGGAACGUGCCCUUCGCUUCGGAAUAGCCCCGGGAAACUGGGAGUAAUACCGAAUACGCCGUAUUGGGAAAGAUUUAUCGGCGAAGGAUCGGCCCGCGUUAGAUUAGCUAGUUGGCGGUGUAAUGGACCACCAAGGCUACGAUCUAUAGCUGGUCUGAGAGGGUGAUCAGCCACACUGGGACUGAGACACGGCCCAGACUCCUACGGGAGGCAGCAGUGGGGAAUCUUGGACAAUGGGCGCAAGCCUGAUCCAGCCAUGCCGCGUGAGUGAAGAAGGCCUUAGGGUUGUAAAACUCUUUCGCCGGAGAAGAUAAUGACGGUAUCCGGAGAAGAAGCCCCGGCUAACUUCGUGCCAGCAGCCGCCGUAAAAC